AUUGAACGCUGGCGGCAGGCUUAACACAUGCAAGUCGAGCGGUAGCACAGGGGAGCUUGCUCCCUGGGUGACGAGCGGCGGACGGGUGAGUAAUGUCUGGGAAACUGCCUGAUGGAGGGGGAUAACUACUGGAAACGGUAGCUAAUACCGCAUAACGUCGCAAGACCAAAGAGGGGGACCUUCGGGCCUCUUGCCAUCAGAUGUGCCCAGAUGGGAUUAGCCAGUAGGUGGGGUAAUGGCUCACCUAGGCGACGAUCCCUAGCUGGUCUGAGAGGAUGACCAGGCACACUGGAAAUGAGACACGGUCCAGACUCCUACGGGAGGCAGCAGUGGGGAAUAUUGCACAAUGGGCGCAAGCCUGAUGCAGCCAUGCCGCGUGUGUGAAGAAGGCCUUCGGGUUGUAAAGCACUUUCAGCGAGGAGGAAGGUGGUGAGCUUAAUACGUCCAUCAAUUGACGUUACUCGCAGAAGAAGCACCGGCUAACUCCGUG
rnacentral:rRNA from 1 species